rnacentral:lncRNA from 1 species
CAGGUACAUUCAAUCUCCAUUUCUCUUCCGACUAGCAACUCCAAUAAAGUAGCGCCCCCCUACCCACAAUCUCCUGUAUACUAUAUACUACAUUUGACAACAUGAUGCCACCGGUUUUAUUAUACCUCCAGUUCAACCAGAUAUUCUUGUCCACAAUUGGUGGAUCGAUCGAUCCCAUGUUAACUCAAUCCUGGGAUAUGAUGAUUACCUGAGACGGCGAUAUGCCAGCAGGCAAUAGCAACAUAACAAGUUGAUGAUUUUUGUUGGCAUUUUUAUCAGUAACCUGAACAAAUUAAGGCAUGUCUGUUCUUACCCAUGGUUAAUACCCAGAGUCAGCUCUGUUAAUACGUUAAUACUUGCUCUCUGUUCGGUGUUCAACAUCAGUGAGAUUCAUGAGAAAUGAAGAUCUCAGCCACUCAGAUCUGUAAAUUUCCUUAUAAUCCAGAAAUUAAAUAGGACUAUAGUGAAUAAUUUUGAAUUAUUCACUAUGCACUCACUGACGACACGGAUGCUUUGCUAAGCCAGGUCUUCCAGAUGCUCAAGGAGCAACCUUUCUAUCAUCCCAAAGAGGGCACUUUCAUGAAGCUCCUCCUGCUGCUGGGCAGGUCAGGCCAGCCUUCCCGUGC